UGGCUAAACUGUCCACAAUUAAAAACAUCGAUCCAUAUGACCUGAAAACCAGAGACUGAAGCUCCGAGACCGCAUCGCUGCCUCCGAAUUCGGCGCCGGACAUCACAAACUGCCUGGUUUACGGUGUCAGCGCCUACACAUGUGAGCAGUUCGGAAAUUAUAAAUCUCUGGAAGCGCACGGACAUUUGACGAAUGGCUGGGUGCAGGAUGUGUUCGCCUCUCGACCAAAGGGCUGGAACAACACAGUCGUGACUGCAAAGGUCUUGCACUCCCACCGUCUGAAGGAUCCACCACUGAAGGCCUGGGCCGUCACGGAGCCAUCAGGAGCCAGAUCAUCUGGUCACUGCACAUGUAUGACUGGAACAGCAGAGACGUGCACACAUGUUGCAGCUAUGUUGUUUAAGCUGGAGGCGGUUGUCAGAUGCAGAGAGACAACAACUGUGACUGCUCUCUAAAAAGAAAUGUCUAGACUCAACAAAAAAAAAAAAAUCAACACAACAGUUUGCAUUAGUCUUUUUAAGUUAUGGCAACCUCAGAAAUUACAUUGAACCAACAAACUAUAUUACUUUGAGUGAAUUCAUUUUUUGUCAUCAGUCAAAGAUCAUUUUAAGUACUGCUUACUUAAUAAAUGCAAGAAUUUUAAGUUGAUAACUCAAAUAAAUUGGCUGCCCACUUUGAAGUUGUUAAAAUGGCCAGUUUCUGUUGCCUUAAUGUUGUGAGUAUUUGGGAAUACGAUGCUGUCAUGGGCACUGUGGAAUGAUUCUGCACAGACAGUAUCAGGCUUUUAAUAAGCCCAGAGGCAACUGGGAACUGCUCUGUUGAACUGUGUAAGUUUUAUAGUAGUAGCAGGAGCAGAUUAAAUGCUCAAUACUUCUCAUUCCAGCUUUGACACAAAAAGUAACUAAACUAUUUAGAUUAAGUGAACAACAAGAACACAACCAAACACAACUACCAAACACUAUUAACAUCAGAACAUCGAAAUAAAUAAUGAAAUCAUUGUUUAAAUCUGGAAUAUCUCAUCCCAAACUCCCAUGAUGCAUUGCGGCACUACCAUCAUCAUUGUUAAAUUCUUCAAAGAGCCUGUUUCCUUUAUGCUGUGACCAACUCUCACCAUGCCGACGUGGUGUCCUUACCCUACUAAAAAUGAAUUUUAGUCACCA
rnacentral:lncRNA from 1 species